GAUGAACGCUGGCGGCGUGCCUAAUACAUGCAAGUCGAACGAAAAGAGGGGAAGCUCUUGCCCUUUCCGGUAUCGGCUGACGAACGGGUGACAAACGCGUAAACAACCUAUAUGCCGGGUGGGACCAAGAGACACCGACGCUAACACAUAAUAAUAUAUUUCAACGCAUGGUUUAGCAGAGAGAGACAGACUUGGCCUCACCUAUAGAGCGAUCCGCGGUGGAUUAGCUGGUUGGUGAGGUAACGGCUUACCAAGGCAACGAUCAGUAGCCGGUCUGAGAGGAUGAACGGCCACACUGGAACUGAGACACGGUCCAGACUCCUACGGGAGGCAGCAGUAGGGAAUCUUCCGCAAUGGGCGAAAGCCUGACGGAGCAACGCCGCGUGAGUGAUGACGCUUUCCGGUUGUAAAACCCCUUUUUCCGGGGCGAAAAGGAAGUGUACGAAGAUCAGCCCACAUUGACGGUACCGAAUAAGCAAGCCACGGCUAACUACGUG
rnacentral:rRNA from 1 species